UACGUAGGGGGCAAGCGUUGUCCGGAAUCAUUGGGCGUAAAGCGCGUGUAGGCGGCUGAGUAAGUCUGCUCUGAAAGCCCGGGGCUCAACCCCGGGAGGCGGGUGGAUACCGCUCAGCUCGAGUCCGGAAGAGGAGUGUGGAAUUCCUGGUGUAGCGGUGAAAUGCGCAGAUAUCAGGAGGAACACCAAUGGCGAAGGCAGCACUCUGGGACGGUACUGACGCUGAGGAGCGAAAGCCAGGGGAGCAAACGGG
rnacentral:rRNA from 1 species